AAAAAAACAAAUUCUAAGUUUCCGUGUCCAACAUUUGACUAUCCAUCUUAUGUUAAUCUUUUUAUAAUUAGUAUUUUAAUUGUUAUUAGAUGAUAAACAUAAUAAUAUUUUAUGCGUGACUUAUCUUUUGAUUUUUUUUAAUGAUUUUUUCAAAUAAAACGGACGGUCAAACGUUGUACAUGGAAAUUAAAGGUUUGUCUUUUU
rfam:Oryza sativa (indica cultivar-group) chromosome 5, whole genome shotgun sequence.